rnacentral:misc_RNA from 1 species
UUUCCUCCGCUGACCCAACAACCUACUCAAUUUUCCAAUAUCAAAAAGUUAGAUAUUUAGGUUCGUAAACAUCUUAGUACGUUAAAUCCACAAAUUGGUGUAACAUAUUCUUUAGUAUUGUUGUCAGUUCACUGAGAGAAAAACAAAUAAAAAGGAGAACUCCUGAGUCAUGACAUAUUGUCUGGAUCAUACCUGACAAUUGGAAUAAAAUUUG